rnacentral:rRNA from 2 species
UGGGCCUAAAGCAUCCGUAGCCGGUUGCAUAAGUUUUCGGUUAAAUCUAUGCGCUCAACGUAUAGGCCGCCGAAAAUACUGUGCAGCUAGGGAGUGGGAGAGGUACACGGUACUCAGUAGGAAGGGGUAAAAUCCUUUGAUCUAUUGAUGACCACCUGUGGCGAAGGCGGUGUACCAGAACACGUUCGACGGUGAGGGAUGAAAGCUGGGGGAGCAAACCGGAUUAGAUACCCGGGUAGUCCCAGCUGUAAACGAUGCAGACUCGGUGAUGCAUUGGCUUGUGGCCAAUGCAGUGCCGCAGGGAAGCCGUUAAGUCUGCCGCCUGGGAAGUACGUACGCAAGUAUGAAACUUAAAGGAAUUGGCGGGGGAGCACAAGCC